GACGAACGCUGGCGGCACGCCUAACACAUGCAAGUCGAGCGGAGAUUGAGAGCUUGCUCUCAUGAUCAGCGGCGGACGGGUGAGUAACACGUGAGCAACCUGCCUUUCAGAGGGGGACAACAGUUGGAAACGACUGCUAAUACCGCAUAACAUUGCCGAACGGCAUCGUUUGGCAAUCAAAGGAGCAAUCCGCUGAAAGAUGGGCUCGCGUCUGAUUAGAUAGUUGGUGAGGUAACGGCUCACCAAGUCGACGAUCAGUAGCCGGACUGAGAGGUUGAUCGGCCACAUUGGGACUGAGACACGGCCCAGACUCUUACGGGAGGCAGCAGUGGGGGAUAUUGGACAAUGGGGGAAACCCUGAUCCAGCGAUGCCGCGUGAGGGAAGAAGGUUUUCGGAUUGUAAACCUCUGUGGACAGGGACGAUAAGUGACGGUACCUGUUUAGAAAGCCACGGCUAACUACGUGCCAGCAGCCG
rnacentral:rRNA from 1 species